rnacentral:rRNA from 1 species
CCUACUGGAGGCAUCAUUGAGGUAUCUUGGUCAAUGGGGGAAACCCUGAACCAGCAACGCCGCGUGAGGGAAGACGGUUUUCGGAUUGUAAACCUCUGUCCUCGGUUCCGCUCCUGCCGGUCGCCGCGGAGGAAGCUCCGGCUACCUAUGUGCCAGCAGCCGCGGUAAUACGUAGGGCGCCCGCGUUGUCCGGCUUUCCUGGGUGUCCCGGGUGCGUAGGCGGGCGUGCACGUCCGACGUGAAAUCUAUGUGCUUAACCCAUAAACUGCUUUUGAAACUGUAAGUCUUGAGUGAAGUAGAGGUAGGCGGAAUUCCCGGUGUAGCGGUGAAAUGCGUAGAGAUCGGGAGGAACACCAGUGGCGAAGGCGGCCUACUGGGCUUUAACUGACGCUGAGGCACGAAAGCGUGGGUAGCAAACAGGAUUAGAGACCCCAGUAGUC